CAAUAUUUAAGUCUUUUACGUAAUAUGCAUUUUUUUAAUAUUAGGAAUAGAUAACUAGAGGCUCUAUAGUCCAAUAUUACUCUAAAAUAAAGGACAACAGGUAGGUGAAACUUAUAUAAAUGAAGAGAUAAAUGAUAAAAAAAAUUACAAAACUACCCUUGAACUUGCAUAUGAAGCCUCAACAUCAUCAACACGGAAAACUAGGGAGAGUGUUUGAGAAACCAGAGUACUGAAAACUUCUGCUUGCUGGAGAUAGAUUAUGCUUCAGUUCCUUCCGUGCAAUUACUUAUUUGGUACAAACAGUUCUCAAAAAAGAAAUUUAGAUGCUUCAACUAACCUUGAUCGUUUCUCUCCGCUUCAAAACUGCCACCCCGUAUUAAAAACAGCCG
rnacentral:lncRNA from 1 species